rnacentral:misc_RNA from 1 species
UCGUAACAAGGUCUCCGUUGGUGAACCAGCGGAGGGAUCAUUACAGAGUUGCAAAACUCCAACAAACCAUCGCGAAUCUUACCCGUACGGUUGCCUCGGCGCUGGCGGUCCGGAAGGCCCUCGGGCCCCCGGAUCCUCGGGUCUCCCGCUCGCGGGAGGCUGCCCGCCGGAGUGCCGAAACCAAACUCUUGAUAUUUUAUGUCUCUCUGAGUAAACUUUUAAAUAAGUCAAAACUUUCAACAACGGAUCUCUUGGUUCUGGCAUCGAUGAAGAACGCAGCGAAAUGCGAUAAGUAAUGUGAAUUGCAGAAUUCAGUGAAUCAUCGAAUCUUUGAACGCACAUUGCGCUCGCCAGUAUUCUGGCGAGCAUGCCUGUUCGAGCGUCAUUUCAACCAUCAAGCUCUGCUUGCGUUGGGGAUCCGCGUCUGACGCGGUCCCUCAAAAACAGUGGCGGGCUCGCUAGUCACACCGAGCGUAGUAACUCUACAUCGCUAUGGUCGUGCGGCGGGUUCUUGCCGUAAAACCCCCAAUUUCUAAGGUUGACCUCGGAUCAGGUAGGAAUACCCGCUGAACUUAAGCAUAUCAAUAA